UCACAAGUAUGUACUGUGCUCACUUCAAAACUGACAACACAGAAACAAUUAGCAUAGUGCCUGUACAAGGAGGACACAUGAAUUUCUGAAGCAUAAUUAAAAUUU
ensembl:snRNA U6 U6 spliceosomal RNA